rnacentral:rRNA from 1 species
GGCGGACGGGUGAGUAACGCGUAAAGAACUUGCCCUUUAGACUGGGAUAACAGAGGGAAACUUCUGAUAAUACUGGAUAAGUUAGUAUAUCGCAUGAUAUGCAAAAUGAAAGCUACGGCACUAAAGGAGAGCUUUGCGUCCUAUUAGCUAGUUGGUAAGGUAAGAGCUUACCAAGGCGAUGAUAGGUAGCCGGCCUGAGAGGGUGGACGGCCACAAGGGGACUGAGAUACGGCCCUUACUCCUACGGGAGGCAGCAGCC